AGUGAACGCUGGCGGCGUGCUUAACACAUGCAAGUCGAACGAGAACGGAUUAUAGCCGGCUAUAAUUGUCAGCUAAGUGGCGCACGGGUGAGUAAUGUAUAGUUAAUAUGCCUCUUACUAAGGGAUAACAAAUGGAAACGUUUGCUAAUACCUUAUACUCCUUAUUAACAGAAGUUAAUAAGGGAAAGAUUUAUUGGUAAGAGAUUAGCCUGUAUUGUAUCAGUUAGUUGGUGGGGUAAUGGCUUACCAAGACUAUGACACAUAACUGGUUUGAGAGGAUGAUCAGUCACACUGGAACUGAGACACGGUCCAGACUCCUACGGGAGGCAGCAGUGGGGAAUAUUGCACAAUGGACGAAAGUCUGAUGCAGCAACGCCGCGUGGAGGAUGACACAUUUCGGUGCGUAAACUCCUUUUAUAUGAGAAGAUAAUGACGGUAUUAUAUGAAUAAGCACCGGCUAACUCCGUGCCAGCCGCCGCGGUAA
rnacentral:rRNA from 1 species